AUGCAGGAAAAUGGUGUGAAUUGUGGUGUUGUAGAGUGGGUUGAUGGGCCUUGGCCAACUGUUCUUCAGAGAUGUCUGUGCAAGCUAUGGGACAUGUUCCAUGAGCAGAACUUUGGAAGGGUACAGGACAAGGAGAAGUUUGAGAAGGAGUUGGCCAGGCUUAAGACUGAAAAUGACAAGCUUUGCAUUGAGUACACCAAGCUUGUUGAUGAUGUAUCCAAGAUGUUUGAUUGGCAGGAUGGUAGGGUGGACAAGAAGGUGUACCAGAAACAAGUGGAGGAGGAAGAACUUGAGAAGAAGAAGAAGGAGCUAGAGGAGAAAGCUAUGUUGGAGGUGCAGAUGGAAAAGCUCAAACUUGUAAAAGAGCAGAGGUGCAUUUUGCAGAGCCAAGAUGAUAUCAUCAAGAACACCAGGAAGGCUAUGAAGGCUGUUGAAGUUGACAGAGAUGUUCUUAAGAAGGAGAAGGCAAAGCUUGAGCUUGUUGUUGCUGAGCUGCUGAAAGAAGGGUAUGGCAGCAAGGAGAAGUUAGAGCAAAUCAAGGUCAUCCUUGAGUCUUAA
rnacentral:rRNA from 1 species